UAAAAUUACAAUUUAAAUUUUAAUUUGAAUCCAUAAAUUUAAUUUAAGUUUGAAAUAAAAUUUGAAUAAAAUUUUAUAUAAAUUAAAAUUUAAUUUAAAUUCAAAUUCAUAAGUUAGAUUCGAAAUACUUGAUUAAAUUUUAAUUUUUAAUUUAAGUUCAAAUUAAAAUUUAAAAUUAUAUAUUUAAUUUUUAAAUUUUAACUCAUAUUUUAAUUAAAAAAGUUGAAAAAAUAAAUUUAAUCCGAAUAAAUAUCCAUUCCGCCAGGAUUCAACUUUCACUCAUGCCUUCUAGGCCGGAUUGAAAAAUGAGAUGAUUGGGGGAUUCUCAUUCUACUCGAGAAUCGGAAUCGGAAUGGGACUCCCGCUUACCAAACACCUACAAAUGGAUUCACCCAUUCCGAUUCCGAUUCUAUGGUUAAAAAGAAGCGAACCAAACACACCCUAAUUUCAUAAUUUUUCGACAUCAUUUGGCUAGUGAUCAAAAGGUUUCAAAAUUAACAAUUUUAAUGGUAGAUAUGAGGCGUUUUUAAGUUCAACGGUGUAGAAGUAUCCAAAUUAGAUGAAAAUUUAAUAAAAAAUUCUACCUAACAUCAAUAUCAAAACCAAUACUUCCGAUUUGAAAUUUGAAUUUUUUAUCAUUAUUUUUAUGAGAUUUCUCUCUCUCUCUCUCUCUCUCUCUCUCUCUCUCUCUCUCUCUCUCUCUGUAAUAACUGAGAUUUUGAUUUAUUGAUUAAACCCUUUUGUUUGAUGAUGUUCUUGUGUGUAAUAUAAUUAUAAGUGUACCCGUCAAAUUUCAGGAGAAAACGAGUUAAAACGGAGAAGUUACGCGACCCGGAAGUCUGACUUAAGUGAAUAGUAACUCCGGUUUUCCGGAGAGGCCGCGANUAUAUAUAUAUAUAUAUAUAUAUAUAUAUAUAUAUAUGUGUGUUUCCAACAGCAUGUUCACGUGACGCUCGAGAUGAUGUGAGACUGAUUGAAUCGAGUCAGAAUCGAAAAAUGUAAAUAUUAUAUAUCUAUA
rnacentral:lncRNA from 1 species